GACGAACGCUGGCGGCGUGCCUAAUACAUGCAAGUCGAACGCAGUGGGGACGGGUGAGUAACACGUGGGUAACCUCCCAUCAGAGGGGAUAACACUUGGAAACAGGUGCUAAACCGAUACUGAUGGCAGGGCCCGCGGUGCCUUAGCUAGUUGGGGGGGUAACGGCUCACCAAGGCAACGAUGCAUAGCCGACCGUAGAGGGGGAUCGGCCACACGGGGACUGGGACCCGGCCCAGACUCCUACGGGAGGCAGCAGUAGGGAAUCUUGGGCAAUGGACGAAAGUCUGACCGAGCAACGCCGCGUGAGUGAAGAAGGUUUUCGGAUCGUAAAACUCUGUUGGUAGAGAAGCGGUAUCUAACCAGAAAGCCACGGCUAACUACGUGCCAGCAGCCGCGGUAAUAC
rnacentral:rRNA from 1 species